AUUGAACGCUGGCGGCAGGCCUAACACAUGCAAGUCGAGCGGAGCGGCGGACGGGCGAGUAAUGCCUAGGAAUCUGCCUGGUAGUGGGGGAUAACGUCCGGAAACGGGCGAUAAUACCGCAUAUUCUCAGAUGAGACUAGUUAGGAUUAGCUAGUGGGUGGGUUAAAGGCCUACCAAGGCGACGAUCCGUAACUGGUCUGAGAGGAUGAUCAGUCACACUGGAACUGAGACACGGUCCAGACUCCUACGGGAGGCAGCAGUGGGGAAUAUUGGACAAUGGGCGAAAGCCUGAUCCAGCCAUGCCGCGUGUGUGAAGAAGGUCUUCGGAUUGUAAAGUACUUUCAGCGGGGAGGCGUUACUCGCAGAAGAAGCACCGGCUAACUCCGUGCCAGCAGCCGCGGUAAUAC
rnacentral:rRNA from 1 species